rnacentral:lncRNA from 1 species
GUGUCUCACAGACAGAAUCAUGUAAGUCACAAAUGGGAGGCACAUCCGCACUUUUAACGUCUUUAGUAGCCACACUGUAAAACGUAAAAAGAGCAGAUGGACUUGCUUGUGCUGAUAGAUCUUUGUUAAACUCGAGAGAGCGAAACUAGGAGAAACAGAGAAUUAAUAUAAUCAAACUAUUUUUGAGCUAAUUUACAUGAUUAUUAUUACUAUUUUGGGUACGAAGUCUUUUUUUUUUUUUUUUUUUUUUUUUUUUUUGUCUUUUCCUCUUUUCUAGGGCCACUCCUGCGGCAUGUAGAGGUUCCCAGGCUAGGGGUCUAAUCGGAGCUGUAGCCACCUGCCUACGCCACAGCCACAGCAACGGCAGAUCCGAGCCGAGUCUGUGACCUACACCACAGCUCAAGGCAACACCGGAUCCUUAACCCACUGAGCAGGGCCAGGGAUCGAACCCGCCACCUCAUGGUUCCUAGUCGGAUUCGUUAACCACCGAGCCACGACAGGAACUCCGGUAUGAAGUCUUUGAAAUCCAGUGUGUGUUUUGCACUAAUCUCACACCCCCAUUGGAAUUAGCCACAUUUCACAAGCUCCACCUGUCCGCAUGGUCAGUGGUUAGCAGAGUGGGGAAUGCAGCUUUAUUUUAUUUUUUUAUUUUUAUUUUUUAUUAUUUUAUUUUAUUUUUCCUGAUUUUUAUUUAUUUACUUUUUGUUUUUUUUUAAUUUUUUUAUUACUCAAAGAAUUUAUCACAUCUGUAGUUGUAUAGUGAUUGUCACAAUCCAGUUUCACAGGAUUUCCAUCCCACAACCCAUGCACAUCCCCCCACCCCCGGGAAUGCAGCUUUAGAACGCGGUUCCUCUGGGCAGGGAUCCUGUACUUUUCCUCUCUUUCUUCAGUGCCCAGAGGAGGGUGCCCCAGACGGAGGGCACGGCAUGGACAAAGACCCAGGCAUGAAAGAGCAAAGUAUGUUCUGGGGACAGCAAGCCAGUUGGAGUGGCUGCCGUGUGAAGUAACUUAGCUGGGAGCCGUGGGCAGUGGGAUUGCCUCGGGUCUGUGCCACACGGAGACAGGCCUUGAGGACCCUGCUAAAGAAUUUUGGGUCUUGGUCAUGUGGGCAACUCGGGUCAUUGUUUAUUUAUGAGCAGAGGAGUGUCCUAUUCAGGUUACGGAUUUAGACAGAGCCCUCUGGUAGGCAGCACGGAGGAUAAUUUGGAUGGAGCUAAUCAGGAGGCAGAGCAACCAGCUAGGAAGCAGAUGCUGCUGCCAUACAGGUGAGUGAUGAGGAGGCAGCGGGGAUGAGGAGGUGGGACAGACUGGAGCGUCAGUAAGAAAUGUCAGGACUGGGGGACCAAUGCACUGGUGGGGAAGGAGUGCAGGAAGGAGUCCCAAGUUCUCGGCUUGGGGCGCCAGUUCUCUGAGCCAGGAUACAUGGGGAGAGGGGGAGGAGGAGCAGCUCUGUGGAGGACAAUAAUCCUGGGACAGGCUGGCUUUGAGGUUCUGGCAAGACAUCUGGGUGGACAGGAGCAGUAAGUGGUUAGGGCACACCAUGCUAGGGUUCGUCAGUGGUAGUGAGUUCCUUGUCACAUGAAGCAUUCAAGAAGGGGCUAGACAAACACUCACUUGGGAUGUUGCAGAGGGCUUAUACGCAUCCCAGGUGAGCUGGGCCUGUGACUGCACAGCCUGGAUCGUGUCUGUAUGUGUGUGCAGGAGACACUAUCUAUUGGGGCUUGGGCAUGUCUACAAUUUGAGGACCUUUGGGGUUUAAAGGUGGUUUGCGUUUCUGGACCUGGGCCCAUAACUGGAACUGGGGGCAGGAUCGGGCAUGCUGGCUUCGUGGGGGCAGAGGUUUUAAGCGACCACAGGGGAAGAGAGCCCUGAGGUCCUGUUGAACCCAUUUCUCAGAACCAGGGAGCUAGAAGGAUUCUUGAUCUUCAAUCGGCCUCCCCUCCGCAUCUCAGUUUGAUUGGUAGGAAAACUGAGGGCCUUGCCCAAGGUCACACAGAAGGUCAUGACACAUCAGGCGGGGAGGCCUUUCCAUGCUGGCUCCCCACUUCCUCAGAUCCCAAGUGCCCGCAGCAUCUGCGUCUCCUGGGUCUCCUUGGCACAGGAGAUGUUCUCUAACACGUAUGGUGAGGGAUCCCGGUCCCUUUUAAUUAGGAAGAUACAAAGAGAGAAGUCAGACAGCCGCCCCCACCCACAGUUGGGAGAGUAAGUGUUCCCCAAAUUACACAGCAGAUGCCAGGACUCCAGCAACAAGACCCAGCUUGAUAGCUUUGUGGUAACCUCAGCCAGCACAAUUUUAUUUUUAUGUUUUAACUCCUUGGUGAUAUAUAGACCUCUCACAGGCAGGAGAAAUGGCAUCCAGAACGUCUCCCUUGAAAAAAAAAAUUUGUUUUUGAAUUUGCGCAACACACACCCAGUUUAAUUAACCCUUCUGUCAGGGUGCUUGGUCUGCCCUGGGCUGGGUGAGAAAAACUGUUUCUCUCCUGGGAGGCGGGGGUAGUGCGAAUUACCUGAGGAGGAGGCAGAUGUAGGUGGUGGGCUAGCCGGGCCAAGGUCUUGCUGUGGGACCCCUGACGGGCCCCUGAUCCUCUUGGGGUCUCUGGGUCCCAAAUGAUAAACCCCCGGACAACCAACCUGACGGGCAAUUAUAUAUGCCUCUUUCGGGGUCUCUAAUUUUUUCUUCUUUCCUUCCUCUCUUUCUCCUGUCUCUUUAGGGCCACACCCACGGCAUAUGGAGGUUCCCAGGCUAGGGGUCCAAUCGGAGCUAUAGUUGUUGGCCUACACCACAGCCACAGCCACACGGGAUCCGAGCCGCGUCUGCAACCUACACCACAGCUCACGGCAAUGCCGGAUCCUUAACCCACUGAGCGAGGCCGGGGAUCGAACCUGCAUCCUCAUGGAUGCUAGUCGGGUUUGUUAACUGCUGAGCCACAAAGGGAUCUCCUAUUUUUUUUUUUUUUUUCUGCUUUAAAAUGUUCGGUCUAAAGGGCCAGUUCUAUGGGAGUCCCUGCCUUUCCUCUCCACACCUUCCAAAUCUCUAUUUCCAUACCGACUUGCUCUUCAGAGCUGGAACCGGACUGUUUUGAAUCAAAGCUCAUUUCUGACCCUUCCCACUCCCUCGUCUGGACGAGCUAAAGGUCUGCGGAGCCCUUCCCAUAUCCUUUCUAACCACACCAGCUCUGCCAGCGGCUCCUGUCUCCUUCCACUCUCUCUAGCGUCUCUCGUUCAGAUGAGUUUUUCGACACCCAGCUCUACUCGGCCACUUCCUGGACCAGAAAACUGGAGGGCGAGCCCCUCCCCCACUGUCUGAGGCCCGAAGCCCCAACGCCUAGGCCUGCAAGGCCUGGGGCCCCAAGAUCUAGGCCCUGGCCACUGUGCAACCAUCCCCCCACCCUGGCUGCCCAUCCCGCCUCGCACACAAACGCCCAAGCGAACCUUGGUAUGUUUUCAGACCAGCAGCUCAGUCGCAAAACACGAAGCAGGCUACUUGAAAUUUGCCUUCAGCUGCCUGGAAAAUCUGCAGAGAACCCCCUUUAAUCCCUCCUUCUUACCCCCAACUUCUGCCUUCCUCUCCCCCCCUUGGAGGACGCAUGGCCCCUUGAAGUUUUGUUUGCUUGCAGGGAAUAAAAAAAUAACAAAAAC